rnacentral:rRNA from 1 species
AAAAUUAGAGUGUUCAAAGCAGGCAGAUCCAAUUUUCUGCCACCGAAUACAUUAGCAUGGGAUAAUGGAAUAGGACCCUGUCCUCCUAUUUUCAGUUGGUUUGCCGCGAGGACCAGGGUAAUGAUUAAUAG